UACGUAGGGAGCAAGCGUUGUCCGGAAUCAUUGGGCGUAAAGCGCGCGUAGGCGGCCCCGUAAGUCCGCUGUGAAAGUCAAAGGCUCAACCCUUGAAAGCCGGUGGAUACUGUGGGGCUAGAGUACGGAAGAGGCGAGUGGAAUUCCUGGUGUAGCGGUGGAAUGCGCAGAUAUCAGGAGGAACACCAAUAGCGAAGGCAGCUCGCUGGGACGUUACUGACGCUGAGGCGCGAAAGCGUGGGGAGCGAACAGG
rnacentral:rRNA from 1 species